GAUGAAGAACGUAGCGAAAUGCGAUAAGUAAUGUGAAUUGCAGAAUUCAGUGAAUCAUCGAGUCUUUGAACGCACAUUGCGCCCCCUGGUAUUCCGGGGGGCAUGCCUGUCCGAGCGUCAUUGCUGCCCUCAAGCCCGGCUUGUGUGUUGGGUCUCGUCCCCCUUCCCGGGGGGACGGGCCCGAAAGGCAGCGGCGGCACCGCGUCCGGUCCUCGAGCGUAUGGGGCUUUGUCACCCGCUCUGUAGGCCCGGCCGGCGCUUGCCGAUCAACCAAAACUUUUUUCCAGGUUGACCUCGGAUCAGGUAGGGAUACCCGCUGAACUUAAGCAUAUCAAUAAGCGGGGA
rnacentral:misc_RNA from 1 species